rnacentral:misc_RNA from 1 species
GGAUAUUGACAAUUCACCUGUAGGCUGAGUCACUAAUCAACCAGCAAGGACAUAGAUCACCGACUAGCUGCCUGCAACACGCCCCGAGUUGUCUCACCAUUGCUGUCACCACUUUCACCUGAGGAAAGACAAGAGGCCGCGAGUUCUCACUCCACAAGACCAACAUGACAACAACACAUCAGUUAAUGGCCGCCUUCUACCUGUGCGGGCUUUUGUUUCUUCUCCACGUCGACCCCGUGAACAGCUUAAGAUGCAAGAGUUGUGAGAACACGACACAGUGCAUUACCGGAGAACGCGCGGAUUCUAUUUAUUGUUCUGACGAUCAAAAAUACUGCUUGUCGACCAGAGUAUACAGAUUGGCCGACGAGGCCGGUAAAUAAACAUUUGGGACGAGGAGGGUUUGAGUGUGCGUCCGCGUGCGAAGGUAUUAAACGUGAGUGUACCAACGAGACCACCGUGCCAACCAACGGGUAUUUGUGCCGGUUACUGUCUAUCGGAGGUGAACUACAUACACGAUGCAUGAAAUCCUGCUCCUAUGACAACUGUAACGUUGACCUCCCAGUUGGUUAAAACGGACGAUGAAAAAAGGACUGCAUUUACUGAAGAAUUGAGACCAGAAAACAAGAAACUGUUUCACUCCAACUUGUUUACUCUUGUUUAAGACUUGCUUAAGUCGUCUUGUGUCUCUAUUGUCUCAGAAAACAGAAGAAAACCAGUUGAAAAUGUAA